rnacentral:rRNA from 1 species
AUUGAACGCUGGCGGAAUGCUUUACACAUGCAAGUCGAACGGCAGCACGGGGGCAACCCUGGUGGCGAGUGGCGAACGGGUGAGUAAUACAUCGGAACGUGCCCAGUCGUGGGGGAUAACGUAGCGAAAGUUACGCUAAUACCGCAUACGAUCUACGGAUGAAAGCGGGGGACCGUAAGGCCUCGCGCGAUUGGAGCGGCCGAUGUCAGAUUAGGUAGCUGGUGGGGUAAAGGCUCACCAAGCCGACGAUCUGUAGCUGGUCUGAGAGGACGACCAGGCACACUGGGACUGGGACACGGCCCAGACUCCUACGGGAGGCAGCAGUGGGGAAUUUUGGACAAUGGGCGCAAGCCUGAUCCAGCCAUUCCGCGUGCAGGACGAAGGCCUUCGGGUUGUAAACCGCUUUUGUACGGAACGAAAAGGCUCUGGUUAAUACCUGGGGCUCAUGACGGUACCGUAAGAAUAAGCACCGGCUAACUACGUGCCAGCCGCCGCCGUAA